GCCCUCAGGUGAGCCCAGGAGUUUUGAACGAAGCCCAGGAAAGACAAAAUCCCUGGGUGCCUUGGGCCCCCGGUCCCCAGGAUUAAAUUCCUGGGAAGAUAGCUAGAACUCUUUGGGAAGCCCGGCUCCCAGGGGAAGAGGGCUAUGACCUUGAAGCUUCCCAACGCCCCCUCCAACAACCGCACAACUCCGGACCGCUGGGGAAGGGGGGGCGAUGUGGAGAGAAGGGGGAGGCGCUGUGGUGGGGAAAGCAGCCGGCCCACGGCGCUCCUUGCCCGCCCCCCACACCAGCUGUCUCGACAGGCUGUGCUCUGUCGUUAAACCUUCUCUGAAGAAUGGAGUGAUCCUCUUCCCUUUUCCACUUCACUCUGGGAGACCUUGAACCCCGAUCUACGGUUGAAUGGGGUUUCUGUCACUCACAACUCAGAAGAAUCCUGACAAAUACUUCCUUCUGCUGCUGAGAAACUAUCAACAAUCCUCCCUCCUCCAACUGGUUCUUCCCCGAAAGAUCUCAAGCCCCGCCCCCAGGACCUUGCUUAGACACGUGUCCAACAGCUGUGCGCAGAGAAGCUCUGGAGCCAACUCUGGAGCCAAGCCCAGGCGGAGGCGCGAUGCCACCAGUCCCGCCAGGGCAGAGCCAGACAUCGUGUCCCACACGCCAUCAGAGGCCAGGAUCACAAACUCGUCCUCUGCCCGGCGUGCCAGGGCGGUCACUUCAGGCUCCGCGGAAACGAGCUGCAGUUCCGGGGGUCUCCCAGGAGCUUCUUUGUAAGCAAAGUCUCCCAGCGCUUGUGACACUGCCAGAGAGCCCUCGAGGCGCCGGCGGCGGAUAGUACCGCCCGCGUCAUGGAUGCGUUCUAGUUCCUGGGGACGGAGGGGCCGAUGAUCCUCGGUGCCGAA